GGGUGCCGGCGCGUGCCCCGUUGCUGCGGUGACGGGUCGGAAGCGGCCGCUGCUCCGCGCGCCAUUUUCAAACAGUCGGUGCGGCCUGGUGACUGCGCGGGGUCUGCGGGGCGGGAGCGCCGGCCCGGGAGCGCUGCGGGGCACGGCUUGUGUCCGCCGGGGUGCGGGCGGACACACGGGAAGGAGGAGGGUGCUGCCGGCGGGACCGGGGCCCUCUCAGGCAGGCGGUGGCGGGGGCAGCAGCGGAGCUCCCGCGGCCCCGGCAGCGGCCGUUGUAGCAGCCCUGAGGACAACGCGGCGCUGGGCCGCCUCCGUCUCUUCGGCCCCUGGGGAGCGCUGAGCAGUCUGGGCAGCUUCUCUCAGGCUCUGGCCUACAGGCUGGUCUCGUUCCCUCUGGGUUCUGCAGCUGCCCUUCCGCGCCGGAGCUGCUUCUCUGCCGAAGCCUCAGUGGAACAUCUCGGCUGCUCCUGAGUGGUGCGCCCUGCAAGAGCUGCUUUUAACGGUCUCCUAUUUUUCCUGACUGUGACAAAAGCUGCCUUGGACGUGUGUUUACAAUGACUACAACUGCAGAGCGAAGGUUCAUUACUCUCAGGAAACGUCUAGAUCAACUGGGCUAUCGACAGCCAUUGGGAGUGGAGAGUUUACCUUUGGUGGAAAAGCUUUUUAGUGACCUAGUUCGUACAACUGAGAGCUUGCGCAGUGCAAAGUUAUCUGCUGGAAAAAAUGAAAAAGAAUGCAGCAAUUAUGAUGCUAUUUUGGAACCUUAUAAAACAGAGAAUGCUAAACUUACCAGGGAAAAUAAUGAACUGCAUUUAGAAAUACUAAAACUGAAAGAACAAUCUGAUCGUCAUGUUAAAGAUUUGAAAGCCUCCUUAAGGAGGGUUGAACAUGAAACAGGUGACUUGAAAUUUCUGAAUAACCAAUAUGUACAUAAGAUUAAAAUGCUGGAAAAAGAGAACAAAGCCAAGACUGAAAAAAUUCAGCAGCUUCAGGAGAAGAAUCUGCAAGCAGUGGUGCAAACACCUGGUGGCAGAAAAAGACACAUUCCCUUCAGGCGACAACGCAUGCAGAUAGACCAGCCUGUCCCUCCAUCAGGCGUUAGUGCCUACCCAGUUCCUCAGCCAGAGGACCCUUAUAUCGCAGACCUUCUCCAGGUGGCUGACAAUCGAAUUCAUGAACUUCAGGCAGAAGUAACAGAGCUACAGGAAAAACUGGAGAUAUCUGAACGUGGAGUGAAAAAUUAUAGCAAACAGGUGGAACUAAGAGACAAAGAAAUAGAGCGUCUCAUGCUGGCAUUGGAUGGUGGGCGUUCUCAUGAGGUUCUCUCUCUGGAAUCGAGAAAUAGAAGUAAUGAGAAGCUUAUCAACCAUUUGAAUUUGCAGGUUGAAUAUCUUCAGCAAACAAACAAAGAACUUGAAAAUCGCAUUCAAGACCUCCUGGACAGUAAACAAAAUGUGACCAGUGAAGUAGUGCAUUUAAGCAACAAAAAUGAAGAACUGUGUCAAGAACUGAAUGAAAUAGACCACUUGGCACAGCAGUUGGAAAGACACAAGGAAAUUGUGCUCGAGACUGCAGAUAAGGAAAUAGAAGAAGCAAAGAAAGAAAUUGAAAGAAAACACAAUGAAAUACAGGAUCUUGAAGAAACAGUAACAAGGCUUAAAUCAGAGUUGUGCUCAUGUCGUAGGGAGAAUGAGAGACUAAGUGAAGAACUCUUUGGAAAAUCAGAUGAUAAAGAGAAUCUUGAAGUGCUGUUAAGCCAGCUCGAGCAAGAGAAGCAAAGACUGACAGAAAAAACAGAGAACUUAGAAAUAAAAGAACGAGAACUUGUUCUGGAAAUAGAAAGAAUGAGAGUAGAAUAUGGUAUAGCCCUAGGAGACAAAUCUCCAUCUCGUCUAGAUGCAUUUGUAAAGACUUUAGAAGACGACAGAGAUUAUUAUAAGCGAGAAUUAGAGUAUCUUCAGAAAAUGAUAAAACGAAGGCCCAGCCCAAGCCGUAGGACUCCAGAGAAGAGUGAAGAUCUUAGAUUGAUCACCAGAGAAAGGGAUGACCUACGGUCCAUGUUAGACAGAUUUGAAAAACACAUGAUAGACAUUCAAUCCAAUGUCAAAUUAUUGACUGCAGAAAGAGAUAGAUUAAAUGUUCUUUAUGAGCAGUCUCAGGGUGAAUUAAACAGGAUGAGAAGAGAAGCAAAACAUAAUUUAGUUUCUCAAAGUCAGGUGGAAGAAGAAAGAGACAUUGCACUGACUGACUUUAGAAGACUAAUGGCAGAAAAAGAAAGCCUCCGAGAAAAAUUGAAGAUUCAGCAAGAAGCAGCAAACCUUGAGAAAUCAAAGAUGCAGCGUGAUAUUUCAGAAUUGGAGAAUAAUAUUCAAGGAUUUGAGAUGGAAAGGUGUGAACUGAAGACUACAAUUUCUAUCCUGAAAGAAAGAAUAAACUCUUUGGAAAAUGAGUUAAAAUUGAAGUCCAGUAAACUUGCCCAGACAUCUGAUGAUUCUUCUCAAUUUAAAACUGAGAUUUGCUCACUUCAGCUCUUAAAUGACCAGCUCCAGAGGUCUGUUGAAGAUUUACAGCACCGAUUGUCUCUCAAAAAGGAUGAACUGCAGUCAGCUCAAGAAGAAAUUGUAAAGUUAGAGGAGAAAAUAGAUAGGUUAAACCAGAGGAGCGCUUCACAGGAUGAAGCAGUCAAUGUGCUUAGAAAUACUAUCACUGUUUUGGACAAAGAAAAGGACAGUCUUCAAGAAACUGUAGAUGAAAAAACAGAAAGAAUUGCAUGCUUAGAUGACAACUUGGCUAACAAGGAGAAAACAAUUACUCAUUUACGUCUAACUCUCUCUGAGCUGGAGUCCUCAACAGACCAUAUCAAGGACAUGCUGAGCAACAGAGACCGUGAGGUAUCUAGCUUACGUCGCCAGCUUGAUGCGUCCCAUGCAGAGCUUGCAGAAACAGGAAGAGUGAAGGAAAUAGCUCUGAAUGAAAACAGACGAUUGCAAGAUGACCUGACUACAAUGGCAAGAGAGAACCAGGCUAUCAGUACUGAGCUUGAAGAUGCAAUACGUGAAAAAGAAGAGAUGAAAACCAGGGUUCAUAAUUAUAUAACUGAAAUUUCCAGAUUUGAGACCUUGACGGCUUCGAAGGAAAAAGAAAACCAAGAACUGUUAGAGAAGUUCCGAAUGCUCCAAACACAAGCUGAAGACUGGGAAAUUAAGGCUCAUCAAGCUGAAGGAGAAAGCAACUCAAUACGACUUGAACUGCUUUCUGUAGAUACAGAUCGGAGACAUCUCCAAGAGAGAGUGGAACUUCUGGAAAAAGAAAUUCAAGGGCAUAUUGCUGCACAUCAAGCGUAUGAAUCUCAGAUCUCCUCAAUUACAAAAAAUAUGUCCAAAUUUGAAGAGGAUAUUAAACGUGAAAAACUGGAUAAGUCUUCUGUGUUGGCGGACCUGGCUUCUGUGAGGGAACUCUGCGUGAAACUUGAGUCUAACAAAGAACUUUUGUCUCGACAGCUGACAUCCAAAAGCAUGGAUUAUGAAAAGGUUCUAGGUGAAUUAGAAGAUAUAAAAUCAGAAGCAGAGCUGCUGAAAAAGCAGUUAUCCAGUGAGAGACUUACAGUUCAGAAUCUUGAAACGUUGCUGGCUACUAGUAGAGACAAAGAAUUUCAGAACCAUUUAACAUCCCAUGAGAAAGAUUCCGAAAUUCAGUUACUGAAAGACAAGCUAACACUUGCUGAGAGCAAACUCAUAUGUCUGUCUCUGAGGGACUUGGAAUAAGAUAUCAUCGAAAGCUGGUCCUCUUGUCUUCUGCAUCUGUUCUCGACAUACUGGAUCAAGACACCAUUCUAGGAAUUUUACUGAUGAAUAGGGAACACAGGAAAAAAUAUUCUGCGGUACUUUUUGGAUUGGAUCUCUUGAGUAGUUUGCAUCUUCCAGAGUCAGAGACCAACGGAUGCCAGACAGGACGCCUGUGACUGAGCUAGGACUGGAUCUCAUUUGUCAGAAUUAAAGUCCAGUGCUUUAGCAAUAAACUAGUACAUCUUUGCCUCUCCAGAAGUGACUUCUGAGCACUCCACCUCAUAUUGCCUUUGAAGACUGUGGAAUAACAUAGCGAUCUAGAUUCUAGUUUAGACAACUUAUUUCAUAUUGUUAUUUUUUUUCUUGCUUUAUAAUGCAAUCAAUGGUGUUUUGCAAUGAAGCAUUGAGUUGUCCAAGCUGAAGAUUUGCUGAGAAGAAUAUUUAAUCACGUUACUUAAGAUUUUUCAAGCAUUUUGAUUCUUGCAGUUGAAACAAUUGGGUCCAAACACCAAGGGUGUAAUUGAUAAGCUUUCAGACUCUGGGUUUUACUGCUCUGAGCUUGCAUUAAUACAGCGUUUACUUAUAUUUGAUUCAGUUGUGUUCAUUUCUAGCCAGAUAGUUCCAGCCUACUCAAUAUAAUUUUUACUGAAGCCGUAUCUGUUGUGUUUGUAUUUUUUGUGGACGGUUACUCCUUUUUUCUUUUUUUUAAGUGUACACAUAAAGACCAUCUGACAUUGCAACAUAGUAAAUCAAGAAAUUAAUGAUUUAAUUGUUUUGUCUGUUUUUAUAAAACGUUUGUGUUUACCUUUGUCUGAAAAAAAACAUGAGGUAUUAUAGUAAGGUUGUAGUGAGAGGCUUGCCAGCUUCUCAUUCAUUUCUCACUGUAGCUUCUUCCAGAAACAUUCUGUUGCAUUCAUUUGGUUCUUGCUACUUCUAAUUUGUCUUUGAUUUGGUCUGUGUGAAACAACAUCUUCAGUAUCUGGUUUUGUUUUAUCUUGCUCUAUUCUGUCUAAGCUCCUAGCUGGUGGUGUUCAAGGAAAACUUUGUUGCUUCUCAUGAUCUUUUUUAGAAGCAGCUAUAAUAGAGAGGUGUCCAUACUUCGAAGUAAAGUUGCACAGCUGCAGACUGACUGUGAUUUUUUAAAAAGGCAACUGACAACUGAACGCUUUGAACGAGAGCGUGCAAUUCAGGAAAUGCGGCGACAUGGUCUCUCUACGUCAUCAUUACGUGCUUCACCUCCUCUCAGUUCAACAUUAAGGUCUCC